UAUAGGGGCGGGCUUAAAAUGCCAAGUCCAACGAACCUUCGGGUUAGUGGCGGACGGGUGAGUAACGCGUGAGAAUCAGUCAUAAGGAGGGGGAAACAGCUGGAAACGGCUGCUACUUUUUCCAUAUGCCGCGAGGUGAAAUGAAUUUCGCCUGAGGAUGAGCUCGCGUCUGAUUAGCUAGUUGGUGUAGGUAAUGCCCCCCCAAGGCAUCCCUCACUAGCUGGUCUGAAAGGAUGAUCCCCCCCACUGGGCCUGAGACACGGCCCAAACUCCUACGGGAGGCAGCAUUGGGGAAUUUUCCGCAAUGGGCGAAAGCCUGACGCACCACGCCGCGUGAGGCAUGAAGGCCUCUGGGCUGUAAACCUCUUUUUUCAAGGAAAAAGAUCUGACGUUCCUUGAUGAAUAACCCACGGCUAAUUCCGUGCCACCAGCCGCGCCAAUACGGAAGUGUACGGUGUUACCCGAAAUUUCUUGGGUUUAAAGCGUCCGCAGGCGGCCCUUCACUUCUGCUGUAAAACAGUGGACCUUCUCUCCAUCAUGCCUUCGGACCCUGUAGAUUUCGAGUGUGGUAAGCUCCUAUGGCAUUCUCGGUGUCCUGUUUAACCUCCACUUUUUGAGAAAACCUCUCUGCA
rnacentral:rRNA from 1 species